GCAAGCGUUAUCCGGAUUUAUUGGGUUUAAAGGGUCCGUAGGCGGACUCGUAAGUCAGUGGUGAAAUCUCAUAGCUCAACUAUGAAACUGCCAUUGAUACUGCGGGUCUUGAGUAAGGUAGAAGUGGCUGGAAUAAGUAGUGUAGCGGUGAAAUGCAUAGAUAUUACUUAGAACACCAAUUGCGAAGGCAGGUCACUAUGUCUUAACUGACGCUGAUGGACGAAAGCGUGGGGAGCGAACAGGAUUAGAUACCCUGGUAGUCCACGCCGUAAACGAUGCUAACUCGUUUUUGGGGCUUUGGCUUCAGAGACUAAGCGAAAGUGAUAAGUUAGCCACCUGGGGAGUACGUUCGCAAGAAUGAAACUCAAAGGAAUUGACGGGGGCCCGCACAAGCGGUGGAUUAUGUGGUUUAAUUCGAUGAUACGCGAGGAACCUUACCAAGGCUUAAAUGGGAAUUGAUGGGUUUAGAAAUAGACCGUCCUUCGGGCAAUUUUCAAGGUGCUGCAUGGUUGUCGUCAGCUCGUGCCGUGAGGUGUUAGGUUAAGUCCUGCAACGAGCGCAACCCCUGUUACUAGUUGCUACCAUUAAGUUGAGGACUCUAGUAAGACUGCCUACGCAAGUAGAGAGGAAGGUGGGGAUGACGUCAAAUCAUCACGGCCCUUACGCCUUGGGCCACACACGUAAUACAAUGGCCGGUACAGAGGGCAGCUACACAGCGAUGUGAUGCGAAUCUCGAAAGCCGGUCUCAGUUCGGAUUGGAGUCUGCAACUCGACUCUAUGAAGCUGGAAUCGCUAGUAAUCGCGCAUCAGCCAUGGCGCGGUGAAUACGUUCCCGGGCCUUGUACACACCGCCCGUCAAGCCAUGGAAGUCUGGGGUACCUGAAGUCGGUGACCGUAACAGGAGCUGCCUAGGGUAAAACAGGUAACUAGGGCUAAGUCGUAACAAGGUAGCCGUACCGGAAGGUGCGGCUG
rnacentral:rRNA from 1 species